AAUUAAGGCAAUUUAUUAAUCGGCCGAUAGUAGAUAGAGGUAGUACACCAGAUCCAUUACUUGUUUGGAAAAGUAUCGAAAAUGAGUAUCCUCACGUAUCGAGGAUUGCAAGAAAAUACUUAUCAAUUGUUGCGACUUCAACACCUUGUGAACGUUUAUUUUCGCAUACUGGGCUAACUGCGAAUCAGCCGGUUAACGCCAGAUCAUUUAAAUAUGCUUCUGUUUUUAAGAUCUGUCCCGGAAAAUGUAUGGUUUUCUUAAACUGACAAUUAGCUUAUUGUUCUUUUACUUAUUUUAAAUUUAUUUAAAAAUUUAUUUUAUUAAACUUCUUUAAACAACUUGAAUUAUUUAAAAAAAAUUUAAAUGAAAUGUAAUGUUCCCUGUACCUUAUUUAUAAACAAAACAAUAUAAUUGUUUUUAACUAUUUUUGUGAAAUGAAAUGUAAUGUUCCCUGUAGCUUAUUUAUAAACAAAACAAUAUAAUUGUUUAUAACUAUUUUUGUGUUUUAUUUAAUCGAUUUGAAUUAUUCAUUCAAUUUAUGCCUUGUGAUUUAAUAAAUAAAUUUUUGUCCUUUUAAUUUAAAAUCGAUUAGAAUCGAAAGAAUCGAUUUUUGGCUCCGGAUAAUCGAUUCUUAGAAUCGAAAAAUAUAGAAAAAUAGUCAGAAUCGAGAAUCGAUUCUGUAACCAAUUUUGCCAUCCCUAGUGUGAAUCUUCUUAUGCUUUGACAAGACAUAUUUGACGAGAGCGAUGGUCUAAUUCCUGUAGGGUUGUGCGAUUUAUAGUGGUGUUGAUAGCUGUUCCAUUCAGUUAAGUAGCUUUCGUGUAGAAAGCUAUGCACAAGCUUGCGUAAAUCUUUGUCCACGAAGUAGUUACUUAGAUGUAAGGGCUCAAAAGUGGCCUCUUUCGCUCUGCUGUCGGCUAAUUCAAUUCCGCGGAUUCCUGCAUGGCCUGGCACCCACAUGAUUUUUAUAUUAUUUCUAUUUGAAAAUAUAGCGUUACGGAUAUUUGCAUAAUUCAUGAGGGCGUCCAAAGUAGAUUUACUAUCGCUGUAUAUGACAGAUUUGUUUCCAUUUUGGGAAGCAAAAAGUACCGCUUCAAGUAAAGCAGCUGCUUCGGCUGUAAAUACCGAGCUAUACGAUGGUAGUGCACCGACGGCAAUAGUGACACCAAGUUGGUUUGUGGCUGCAAACAUUGUACUGGUAUCAGAUUUGGACCCAUCUGUAUAAAUAAAUUCCCAGUCGUUUUUGAGUGGUGCUGUGAUUUUGUUAAAUUGUUGCUGGUAUUCAUCCGGUGAGAGACGCAGAGACUUGUUCGAAUAAAACUUGGUUUUUACAGUGGAGAAGUUUAGGAAUCAGCAUCAUUGUAUUACGUUUUACUCUGGACGUGAUUUCUGGUAAUCCAGCUUCUGUCCGGAUAACUUUUGUUGGCGACGUUGGGAAUGUGCGGAUACUUCUACGCGCAGCGGUGUGGUACGGUGCAUUUCACAGCUUCAGAUUAGCUUUUGAACAGUGUCCGUAGAUGUAAAGUCCAAAGUCAAUUUUUGAUAACAUUAAUGCUUUUGUGAUAUUUACAAGUGUAUGUGGGUGAAUUUGACAAUAUUUGGAUGACAGAAAUUUAAUUAUGUUAAGUCUUAAUAAUAAACUAGCUCUAAUAGCUUUACAAUGUUCUUUA